AUUUGCUGAGUGUUACCUGACACUACAGACCCUACAGACAGACACAGAGGAUUGUCUCAGAGCCAAAUUAGUCUCAUGCUGGAGAGGCUGGAUUUUGAAUCACUUCCGAAGUCCGAUAAGGGUUUAUUCAUUGGAGUAAGCCACUUGCCUGCCUUUUUGGAUUGCUGCUAAGGUUGGCUGACAAAUUGGACAUGCAUUGGCACAAUUGAUAGAGCUGAGAACCAUUUUGGAAUCUGUCAGCAAGUACAGACAACUGUGCAAGGACGCAAUUUAGAGAACAGGAGUGGUUAACCUCCAGCUAAUCUUGUCUUUAUGAGAAUGGAGGGAUCAAGCCAUUGGAUCUCUCAGGCCCAGAGGGGUUAGAGAGGUCAGGGCAGCCAUGGCACUGUGAUGACUGACACAAACAGCCAGGAAGUAAAGGAAGGGAGGACAUACCUAUCCCACUGGCUGACAGCU